rnacentral:rRNA from 1 species
ACGGGGUAGGAAUACGUAGGUAACGUACCCUCGGGGCGAGGACAGCCACGGGAAACUGUGGGUAAUACUCGAUAAACUUCCCAAUCAUUAUGGAAGGGGAAGCAAUGGGUGUGAUUCCACCUGAGGAGCGGCUUACGCAGUAUCAGCUAGUUGGUGAGGUAACGGCUCACCAAGGCUACGACGCUUAGGGGGUGUGAGAGCAUGGCCCCCACCACUGGCACUGAGACACUGGCCAGACACCUACGGGUGGCUGCAGUCGAGAAUCUUCGGCAAUGGACGCAAGUCUGACCGAGCGACGCCGCGUGUGGGAUGAAGGCCUUCGGGUUGUAAACCACUGUCAGAGGGGAUGAAGUGUACGAGAGUUAUCUCUUGUAUUUGACAGAGCCUCAGAGGAAGCACGGGCUAAGUUCGUGCCAGCAGCCGCGGUAAUACGAACUGUGCGAACGUUAUUCGGAAUCACUGGGCUUAAAGGGUGCGUAGGCGGUUAUCUAAGUCAGGUGUGAAAUCUCUCGGCUCAACCGGGAAACUGCGCUUGAAACUGGAUGACUGGAGUGAUGCAGGGGUGUGUGGAACUUCCGGU